AAAGAUGUGGUGUCUUUAACAUGUGCCACAUCAAAAAAUCUCUCUUGUAUUAAGAAAAAAUAAAAAUAAAUUUUAAUUUAAAAUAAGGAUAUUUUAGUAAUUUAAUAUAUAUGAAUAAAAAAAAAAAGUUGACGGGUGGCCGUGGCCUUCCCACGUCCCCCCUCAGUUCCGCCACUGCCUGCAAGGUUGUCUCCCAUUUGAUAUGGUGGACCUAAAAUUCCCCGCAGAGUUGACAAUUUGGAUCCUGAGUAGAUCUUUU
rnacentral:lncRNA from 1 species